rnacentral:lncRNA from 1 species
UUUGUUUAUAAAGGCAGGGAUUGGUCUACCGUCUAACUUAGUAUUUUAUGGCUGAUAAGUUUGUUUACUUAAAAUAAUUGUUCCAUUUUAAUUUUAUAGUAUAUUAUAAUUGAUAUCAAAUGUGUCUUGAAAUUAUUUGUCAAAUUUAGACUAUUGAUAUGACAGUGACUAAUAUCAAAUGCACAAAUUUUGGUUAAUUUAAGUUAAUAUAUAAUGUAAAUAAAUUUGAUACUUUGCAGGCUGUACAGAAGCAUGUCGGAGAGUUUGGUCUGGCCAGAACAUACAGAGAACGCCAGUCAGUACACAGUCUGAUACGCAAGUUAUUGGCACUGCCAUUCCUCCCUGCAGCAGACAUUAAACGGGCCUUCAGGAAACUACAAGAGCAGGCGGAAGACAGUUCUGAACAAGUCCAGGACCUCUUCACUUAUGUAAGCGACGAGUGGCUUGAAAGCUCUAAGUGGUCUGAAGAUGAGUGGUCUGUGUACCGUCAGACCAUCCGUACCAACAAUGACACAGAGGGGUGGCACCGAAAACUGAACACAAAGGCCGGCAGAGGAAAGGUCAAGACCUACCGCCUUCUGGAGAUCCUCCUUGUAGAAUCUAAGUUGGUGAAUCUAGAAGUGACCAGACUUCUUGAAGGAAGUACAUCCCGCCGAUGUCGUCUCAGUGACGAAUGGUUGUUUGAUUUAUGGGAUCAAUAUGAUAACCAUGACAUUGUGUGUGAAGAAUUCCUUGGAAAUGUGGGAACGUACUAUGGACAGUUUUAGGUGAUAAGGAGAUGUACUGUGACCAACAUGAACUGUGCCACUGUGUCUGAUGAAAUUUGAAACUUGCCCAAUUGAGUUGUGAUAGGUGUAUUAUAUAUUUGCUAUAAUGCUUGCUAUGUGAAUAAGUCAUGUAAAUAAAUGUAUUGUUUUUUCAUGUGAUUUAUGAAUAUCUAAAUAAACUAGUAAACAUCUUA